rnacentral:rRNA from 1 species
AUUGAACGCUGGCGGCAUGCUUUACACAUGCAAGUCGAACGGCAGCGCGGGGCUACCUCGCGGCUACUGGCGCACGGGUGAGUAAUAUAUCUAAACGUACCCCGAAGUGGGGGGUAACGUAGCGGAAGAUACCGCAAUACCCCAUACGAUCUACGGGUGAAAGUAGGGGACCGCAAGGACUUAUGCUUUUGAGACGGCCGAAAUCUGAUUAGCUAGUUGGUGAGGUAAAGGCUCACCAAGGCGACGAUCAGUAGCUGGUCUGAGAGGACGACCAGCCACACUGGAACUGAGACACGGUCCAGACUCCUACGGGAGGCAGCAGUGGGGAAUUUUGGACAAUGGGCGCAAGCCUGAUCCAGCAAUGCCGCGUGAGUGAAGAAGGCCUUCGGGUUGUAAAGCUCUUUUGUCAGGGAAGAAACGGUAGAGGCUAAUAUCCUGUGGUAAUGACGGUACCUGAAGAAUAAGCACCGGCUAACUACGUG